rnacentral:tRNA from 1 species
GCCCGCUUGGCGGAAUUUGGUAGACGCAACGGACUUAAAAUCCGUAGGACCGAAAGGUCUGUGCCGGUUCAAGUCCGGCAGCGGGCACCA